UUUUAAUAAAAGAGCAUCUGAUCUGCAAUAAGCUUUCAUAGAGGAGUCAAAGUCUCUGUGAGGUUGGCAGAAUCCAUAUUUCCUUUUGAACUCAUUUUUCACUGUUUUUCUCUUGAAAUCCAAGUCACCCUUUUGACUUUUUAUAACACAGUGCACCUCUCUGAACCAAUGGACAACUCGACUUGAGGGAAGUUUCUUUGAGAAUCUACAACAGGCUUUAAGCACAGUUUAUAGAUUCAUUUCUCUUCAAAGCAUCCUAAGUACUGCCCCCUCCCCUUCCUGCACAAGCCCUCAGCUCUCAGUUAUCAAAGAAAUCACUUAUAGGAAACUGAAACUCUGGAUUGGUUCAGCUAACAUGGAAGACACAGCUGUGGAUCUGCAGUUGCCACAGGUCAGACUUCAAAAGUGACAUGAAGAUCUGGCUUAUAACAACAGGAAGAAGACUUGCAGACUUGUGGUCACCAAAGUCAUCCAGAGGCCAUGCUGGAGGUUGUUGCGGAUGGUUCAGAGUCAGCGAGCACCAAACAAAGAAGCAAAAUGGAAAAUUUCAAGAUCUUCAAGGCUCAAAGUUUGAACAGGCAAAGCUCCUGGACCCCCAAAAUGACCCCUGUGAGAAUUCCUUAGGGAGACUAAACUUGAGGAUCCUUCAAAGCCAUCAAAUCUUCAGAAAAGUCCCACUUGAAGAACGGUGGAAUGAAAUUGGAUUGCAGACUAAAAGCUUUUAACUGUUUUAUUUUAGGGGUGAUGAAAAGAAAAGACACAAUGAUUUUUAAUUUUAGUAAAAGCAAUAUGUUUUGAUCCAUGAGGUUCCAUGAAUUAUGAACUGCAUCCACACAUUUAUGCAGCAAUGUGCUUAACUUGGAAGAGACACACAUCUCACAAAUAUGUACAGCAGGGCCUUUGGGGAGUGGUCUUUCUCCCAGGGGGCUUUGUCUAGUCAGGGGCUAUCACUGCAGUCUUGGAAAAGCUGUUCCCCUUUCCCCAUAAAACACACACACACACACAUUCAUGCACAGAUUUUAAGAUAGGCAAGUGUCUGUGAUCAUUAUGCCCACAGACACUUAGCUAUUCCUGUUGGGUGCUGGACACACUGUUUAUAUGCCUUUAAUUCAGCCAUGGAUCACAGGCUGUGAAGCCUUGGUACAUAAAUACAGGUAUGUUUGUAUUAGUGGCUCUCAGGCCCGUGCCUCUGCACCUGAACAUUAUGACAGUCAUUGUGGAGCAUUGCCUGUAUACAUCCCAUCACAUACUUCAAAGAAAACCACACAUACAUGAAUAUUUAUGGAUUCUUCUAUGUGCAUACAUGUAUCUUAUACAUUAUAUACACAUGUGUGACUAUAUAAUAUAUGGCUAUAUUGCAUGACUAUACAAAUUAUAUCAUGUCCAUUACUAAAAGGCAAGACAAUUAAAUACAAUUAGCUAUUUCAGUUCUUUCAAUAGUUAUUUGCUACUUGUGUAUGUACUCACUGAAAUGUUAAAAUAUACAUAUGUACAUAUAUAUAUUCUCAUGUCUUUCUGAGUGAAAAAGAUGAACAAUGAUAGCAUUUCCUUUACACAUUUAACGUGUUUGUUAGUUGGUUUGUUUUCUGAGAUUCAUGAAAAGACUAUGAGCUUUUUGGCCAGCACAUGGAUCUUCUCUCCAAUUUCACAUUCUAUGGAGACUUGGCUGAGGGAAAAUCAUCAAACAUGGAGUCAAUAUUUUGGGCGGGGCACAGGUCAGAGUACUGAAUAAAGUCAUACGGAAUUCUGUUAUUCAUCAUUCAUUAUUUGGAAAGUGUUCUUGAAUUUCAGUGGUUUCUGCUGCACCCUGUGCCUGUAGAUGCUUCAGUGUGGCUUCCAUAUCUGAGUUUGUUUUGACCGUGUGUGGUCACCCAAGCGUGAGGCAGGGUACAACCACGAGUGAUCAUUAUGCCCACAGACACUUACCUAUUCCUGCAGGGUGCUGGGCACAGGCUGGAAACUGAGUACACAGAGGGCAUAAAACAACCCCAUCUCCUGCUCUUUUGGAGCUCAGAAAUACUUUAACAAUAAAAUAUAGAAAUGUGUAUGUAAUCAUGCAUUUUAAUGGGGCCUGUGAAGGAAAAGUGUAGUGCUUUAAGAGAGAAAUCAAAGAAUCUUCUCAGAAUAAAUUCUCAGAGAGAAUUCUCAGAGAAGUAUCAUUGAGAAAAAUAAAGGAGUUAGAAAUUGGAUCCUAAUCUGGAUGAACACAGAAUUCUGCCUUGUACAGUACAGGUGCAAUCAUAAAAUCAUUGCUUCACCUUGUGUCUGGCAGCUGUACGUAGCAAACAAUUGAUCAUGUAAUCAGCUCAUCUGAAUGUUCUCUAAGUCAAACCUGGCUUGGAUUAGGUGUUAAUUCCUUCCCAAGGAUUAACAGCUAUUUAUAGAUCCCCUUCUGUGGAGAGUUUGUCUCCUUCCUUUGUGUAAGACACUGUAGAUAACCAUUGUUCAAACCAAGAGCCAUCGAUGAAGGUGACUGGGGAAGAACAUGUCUCUGAUGGAGGACAAAAUGGCUCUCAAAGAUCCAGGGAUUGCAAACUCACUUUAUAUUUUCAAAGUUAAGGCCAUUUAUCAUUGCAGAACUGGGAGGCAAAGCACUCUCCCCUAUAUUAAAAAUACACUUAUAUAUACACUAAAACUAAAGUUUUUGAAAAGUUUAUGGAAUAUGAGAAAAAAAUUACCAAGGCUAGUAAUGGUGAUAGCAAAGUAUAGUGAAGGCUUUCUUUAGUCUUUAAAAUUGCCAUUACUUUGUAUAAAAACUUCACAUUUUAGUUUGCAAAGUUUCAAAACUGCUGGAUCAUUGAAAGAUCUGCACAGCAAACAUCUACAGACGCUUCCUGCAGAUUCACCAACUGUGGACUUUUCCUUAUAUUAUCUAUUGACCGAUCUAUACCUAUACACUUAUCCUUUCUUAAGCAACUUGAAUGCAGUUCACAUACAUUACGAUACUUUUCCCUCAAUACUUUAAUAUGCAUCUCCUAAGAACAAGGACAGCCUUACAGCUUUUCACCUCCUGGUGUUACCGUUCAUUAAUAGUCCUUGCUGGAAGCAGCAACUCCAUUUGGGAUAAAAUAUCAUAAAAGAACGUUUUAAAAUUCAGUUUUUCUUGUUUAUUCAGUUGGCAUCUUUUAAUAAAUAAUAGCGUGUUUAUCUUUCAUCAGUACAUUCCUUUUUGUUAAUUCAAGGUAUUGUCUCCGUUAGUUUUUACCUUUUUGUGAAUUUUUUUGUGUAGGUACCAGAAAUCAAACUCAGGACCUUCCACUUGCCAGGCAGGUGCUCGUGCGGCUGAGCUAUAUCCCCAGCCUUAGUUUUUAUCAUAUAUAAAUCGCCUCACGUUUGGCCCUUGGGAUCCCAUCUACCCAGAUCCUGUGUCCUUUUGACGUGUAUCCAUCAGGAUUUUGAGCACUGUUGAAUUUCUGCCUCCACAAUUUACCCAGGCUCAUCCUGUCUCUUUCCUAGAAUCAUCCCGUUCAUUAAGAAUUGCUGGGGGCUGGGGAUUUAGCUCAGCAGCACAGCGCCUGCCUGGCAAGCGCGA